rnacentral:tmRNA from 1 species
GGGGAUGACAGGUCUCGACUCCGGAUGUCGAGGCAGGGGAAGCGGGUCGAGGAAGGCGACGAUGAUCUCGUUAACCACGAAACGUCGCAAAAAAAACAAGCGCCGAUUCCAAUCGCGCCGCUUACGUGCUCGCUGCCUAGCAGUUAGCACGUAGCUGUCAGCCCGGGAGUGCCUCCGGCCCGGGACCUGGCAUCGACAGGAGGAUCACCGUUCGACCCGGUCACGGGGUCGGACGGAACAACCAACAGUGACUGAGCCCGGCACCGUCUCGCUCGCGUGAACGGUGGGGCCGAGAAAACCACAGCGAGCUGCACCCGGAGAAGCCCUGCAUUGCCACCGGAGGACCCGGGUUCGAUUCCCGGCAUCUCCAA